GACAGAGGCCUCGAGCGUUAGGCGGAAUCACUGGGCUUAAAGCGUGUGUAGGCGGGCCCGUAAGUGUCUUGUGAAAUCCCGCGGCUCAACCGGGGAACGGCUGGGCAUACUGCGGGUCUUGGGCCGACUAGGGGCAGCCGGAACAAGCGGUGGAGCGGUGAAAUGCGUAGAGAUCGGCAAGAACACCAACGGCGAAAGCACUCUGCUGGGCCGACACUGACACUGAGAGACGAAAGCUAGGGGAGCGAAUGGG
rnacentral:rRNA from 1 species